AGCGCAGGCGGGCGAUCAAGUUGGAAGUGAAAUCCAUGGGCUCAACCCAUGAACUGCUUUCAAAACUGGUCGUCUUGGGUAGUGCAGAGGUAGGCGGAAUUCCCGGUGUAGCGGUGGAAUGCGUAGAUAUCGGGAGGAACACCAGUGGCGAAGGCGGCCUACUGGGCACCAACUGACGCUGAGGCUCGAAAGUGUGGUAGCAAACA
rnacentral:rRNA from 1 species